rnacentral:rRNA from 1 species
CGCUGCGGCGUGCCUAAUACAUGCAAGUCGAACGGCUUUUCUAUGGAAGCUUGCUUCCACUGAGAAGAUAGUGGCGAACGGGUGAGUAACACGUGGGUAACCUGCCCAUAAGAGGGGGAUAACAUCCGGAAACGGGUGCUAAUACCGCAUAGUUUUCUUGAUCGCAUGAUCGGGAAGGAAAGACGGCCUUUGUGCUGUCGCUUAUGGAUGGACCCGCGGCGUAUUAGUUAGUUGGUGAGGUAACGGCUCACCAAGACGAUGAUACGUAGCCGACCUGAGAGGGUGAUCGGCCACAUUGGGACUGAGACACGGCCCAAACUCCUACGGGAGGCAGCAGUAGGGAAUCUUCCGCAAUGGACGAAAGUCUGACGGAGCAACGCCGCGUGAGUGAAAGAAGGUUUUCGGAUCGUAAAACUCUGUUGUCAGAGAAGAACAAGUUGGAGAGUAACUGCUCCAGCCUUGACGGUAUCUGACCAGAAAGCCACGGCUAACUACGUGCCAGCCGCCGC